GCACGAGCAGGGCGUGGCUGCCAAAAGUAGAAAAGGUGAAUUCCUCCCAGUCCGUCCCAUACAUCAAAGUACACCCUCAACAAUGCUGGCUUAAGAAGAGCCAUCCCAAUCGGCGUUAAGAAUUGGGGCGGCCCAUGCACCAUGCAAGUCGGCGACAGCAUCAGCAGCAGCGAGGCACAAGAACUCGAGGAGCAGCACAAGUGAAAGCGUCAUCUUGGGGUUCAGCAUUGCAGACGAUCUCUCUCCAAGCAGGCGCGGAGUCCGCAACAAGUCUUGGCGGCGGCAGGUAGGUAGGUAGGUAGGGCACAAGGCGGACGCAGUCAGGCAGCUGGCAGCGAGCAAGUGAUGGCUGCUCCGCCCGCCGUACCCUGCAAGAUCACGAUCCGCACGUCACAUACAGCAAACGUCAGCAAGCGGCUUUGACACGCAGGGGACACUUUGAGCCUUUUGCUUUCAAAUUUUGCAAAGCGUGUGCGGAGGGGGCCCCCGGCCACCUGACGUGACGUUUGGCGUCCUCUUUGCAUGACGCGGCGAGCGUCAGUGACACGCAGGCGGCUUCUUCCAGCAAAUCCCGCAAACAGCGCCUUUUGGAUGCGAGAGAACCCCGUUUCCAAUCGUUUCUUUCAAACAGCGUUGCCUUCCUUUCUCUCCGUUAUUUCUCCAAGAGCAAAAGUCUCGCAGGUCUCGCAGAGUUCAAAUGCCCGCAUGUUCCGAUUCGUGCUGCGUCAUCAUUGACACGGCCGCCACUUUAAAGACAAAGGCGAACAACAAGCACGUAUAGGUGACGAAUCGUAGGCAAGCCCAUUUUGGAAGUCAAUGCAAUUGUUUUCAACUCAAAUGAAAGGCAACAACAAGGUUUUUGGCAACUGGUUAUAGUGCAAAGGGCAACGGGUUUGACACCAAGUUGCGCAAGUGGCUUUUGAUCAUAUAAACACAUGCUUUUGUUCUUUUUUUUUUUUUUACUUUCAAAUAUUUCACGAUACAUUGAAUGGGCUAAAUAGCUCAUUUUAUUUGUUGUUUUUUUUCUCCUGUAAUCCUGUAAAUACUCUGGGAUUUUUUGAUUGCUCUCCAGUCUACAGGCCUGGGUUUGUCCACCUUCAACCUAUGGAGGGAUAGUUAUAUUGUGGUUGACAAAUUCAAUGACAAGGGCUCAUUUAAAAUAUUUUAGAGCAUAAGUACACAGUAAUCAGGGCCGGACUGGGAGAUUUUUUUCAGGCCAGGAAUCAGUAACCAGGCCACCCUGGCCUUGCCCACACGUGCAUGUUCACACCCACACUUAAAUGCUUGGGCACAAGCAAAACGCAUUUGUGCGCACACAUGCACACAAUCAUUCUUUGGGGUUUUGUUGUGGGUGGUACCGUAAAAAAAACAAUCAAAAUCUCUAGAAUGAGGACAAGCAAACUACGCCAAAGGUCUCUCUGAUUCUGUCUUUCUGCCUGCCUGCCUGCCUGCCUGCCUGCCUGCCUGCCUGCCUGCCUGCCUGCCUGCCAGCCAGCCAGCCAGCCUGCCUGCCUGCCUGCCUGCCUGUCUGUCUGUCUGUCUGUCUGUGUCUUGAGUUGGUCUUUCCCUUGCACUGCUCCCUGUACUUGUCUUGGCAGUAUACUCGGCAUCUGCUGGGAGUGUCAGAACAACCAGCAUCACCAAGGGCGACGAGACUCAAUACAGGUUGGAGGUUGACCAUCUGACCGCGUGGUGCAGGGACAACAACCUCCUGCUGAACGUCAACAAGACCAAGAAGAUUGUUGUUGACUUCCGGAAGGGUCACACCCAACACUUGCCGCUGACCAUCGACGGUGCUGCGGUGGGGAGAGUGAGCAGCACCAAAUUCCUGGGGGUGCACAUCAGUGAGGAUCUCUCCUGGGCCGCAUCACUGGCAAAGAAAGCUCAGCGCCGCCUGUACUUCCUGCGGAAACUCAGGCGAGCAAGUCCUCCUCCAGCCGUCAUGACUACAUUCUACCGUGGCACCAUUGAGAGCGUCUUCUCCAGUUGUAUCCCUUUUUGGGGUGGUAGCUGCACUGAAGACAACAUGAAGGCCCUGCAGCGCAUAGUGAACACGGCUGGUAAGAUUAUUGGUGCUUCACUCCCCUCCCUGAAGGACAUUUACACCUUCGUCUCACCCACAAGGCGACCGCGAUUGUGAGUGAUGUGAGUCACUCCGCUCACUCUUUGUUUGAUCUUCUGCCCUCUGGGAAGAGGUACAGAAGCCUGCACCCCCUCACCACCAGACUCACCAACAGCUUCAUACUCCAGGCUGUUAGGAUCCUGAACUCUCUCCCCCCCCUUCUGCGUAGCGUCCUGUACUUUUGCGCUAUAUUCUGACUGUCUGCUGUAUGCGCACUUGCUCCAUUUUUGCUCCUCUUAUUUAUUAUGUUAUUUGUUUAUUUAUUAUUUAUUCAUCACUCUUAUUUAUUCAUUGUUUGUGCCUUCUUGUUUUUAUUUUUCUGGUGUUGUUUACUUCUAUGUAUAUUGCGUGCGUACUAUGUCUCGUCACCGUGGGAUAGUGGGAACGUUGUUUAGAUUUCUUUGUGUGUCUUGGCGUGUGAAGAAAUUGACAAUAAAGCAGACUUUGACUUUUUGACCUUCAGUAAAAUACACCAUAGAAUCAAAAAUAAAUAAAUAAAUAAAUGAAUACCUGACACAAUGAUCUAUUGACAGCUCUAAUGAACAUCUGCUGACAGUGUCUGACACAUUUGAGUUGCAAAUAUGAAAAAAACAUCUGAGAAAAAUCUGAAAGAAGAAACACAUUACAGAGCAUUAGAAACAUUUUGUUUCAUCCGUAACAUCUGGAGACACCAGAGCUUUAUAAACUUCAACAUUGUCGGAAAAAAUAACAGCUUGUUCUUAGAAAAAGAUUCCCUCACAGCGGGGAUACAACGUUCAACUUUGUAGAAUUUCACUUGUCUCUGUGGGGAUGUACUGUAUGGUCUGACAGACAUGCAACAUAGUAUAUGGCAAUAAUGUCCAAAGUCCGGCCCGCGGGCCAAAUCCGGCCCCCGAUCAGAUUUCAUAUGGCCCGCAGCUUCGGUCUUAUAAUGUAUUAUUUAUGGACCGCCUGCACUGUCAAACUGAAUAUAUAUAUAAAAAAAAAAAGAAA